rnacentral:rRNA from 1 species
ACUGGGAUUAGAUACCCCACUAUGCUUAGCCCUAACCCUGAAUAAUUUCAUAACAAAAUUACUCGCCAGAGAACUACAAGCCAGAGCUUAAAACUCAAAGGACUUGGCGGUGCUUUAUACCCGCCUAGAGGAGCCUGUUCUAUAAUCGAUAAACCCCGAUAAACCUUACCACUCUUUGCCAACUCAGCCUAUAUACCGCCAUCUUCAGCGAACCCUAAAAAGGAAUAAAAGUAAGCUCAACUAUUGCCAUAAAAACGUUAGGUCAAGGUGUAGCCUAUAGAGUGGAAAGCAAUGGGCUACAUUUUCUUCUUCAGAACAUACGAAAGCCCUUAUGAAAUUCUAAGGGCCAAAGGAGGAUUU